CAGAAACGGGGCCAGCACGCUUUAUAGGACUUCACUACCACACAUCAAGAAAUAACCGUUCAAUAAGCUUCCAGUCCAAAGCCUCCCUGCGUAAGACAGCAGCUCGUUGGUGAACAGCCGUGAUCCCAAGCUGCCCAGGACUCGGACAUCCACAGCAACACGCCAGUCCGAAGGCUGCUUUUGCCUUGGGUGAAAGAUUUUCAUCUCCUGACCAUCAAAACCAAGCCAACAGGAGCCUACGCAGGCCGCGCAUCUGACUGCCGACGGGCACUCGAGCGCUCCAAGCAGACCCACUGCUCAGCUAACCCUUGUUGUCACCCUGACAUACGCCAUCCCCGUGAGACAAGGAUACUGGAGCAUCCAGGGACCACCACGGUUUCCAACAUGGCCAGACCUCUGCCAGACUAGCAGGGAAUGUUUGAGGAAGAAGGUCUGUGCCCAACCAAGGCCCAGGACUUAUUUCCACUUAAGAUACCACUAGAAUAAAUUUGGGACAGUUUUAAAGCUUCUGUGGCUC
rnacentral:lncRNA from 1 species